UCCCCUACGGGAGGCAGCAGUGGGGAAUCUUGCACAAUGGGCGAAAGCCUGAUGCAGCAACGCCGCGUGAGCGAAGAAGGCCUUUGGGUCGUAAAGCUCUGUCCUAAGGGAAGAAGGAAGUGACGGUACCUUAGGAGGAAGCCCCGGCUAACUACGUGCCAGCAGCCGCGGUAAUACGUAGGGGGCAAGCGUUAUCCGGAAUUAUUGGGCGUAAAGAGUACGUAGGCGGGUCUUUAAGCGCAGGGUUUAAGGCGAUAGCUUAACUAUCGGUCGCCCUGUGAAAUGGGGGGCUUGAGGAUCGGAGG
rnacentral:rRNA from 1 species